rnacentral:rRNA from 1 species
UUUAUUAAGAGGUAGGGCCUGCUCACUGAUAAAUUAAAGAGCCGCGGUAUAUUGACUGUGCUAAGGUAGCAUAAUAAUUUGUCUUUUAAUUGAAGACUAGAAUGAAUGGUUUAACGAGAAAUUGACUUUUUUGAAAGUAACAUUUUGAAUUUAAUUUUUUAGUGAAAAAGCUAAAAUAUAAUAAAAAGACGAGAAGACCCUAAGAGUUUUAUAUUUGAAUUAUUUGUUUUUAAAUAUUAUGGGCAAUUGUAAAUAAGAAAAAUAUUUUGUUGGGGCGACAUUUAGAUAAGAAAAACUUUUUAUUUUUAAAAUUUUGAUUGAAAAAUUUUUGAUCCUUAAAAAAGAUUAAAAGAAUAAGUUACCUUAGGGAUAACAGCGUAAUCUUUCUUGAGAGUUCUAAUCGACAGAAAGGUUUGCGACCUCGAUGUUGGACUAAAAUUAAACUAAGGAGCAGUAUUCUUAGAUUUAGGUCUGUUCGACCUAUAAAUUUUU